CCCUUAGACGUUCUGGGCCGCACGCGCGCUACACUGACCAGUGCAACAAGCAUCCGUCCUUGGCCGACAGGCUCGGGCAAUCUUUGAACGCUGGUCGUGAUGGGGAUAGACUUUUGCAAUUUUUGGUCUUCAACGAGGAAUUCCUAGUAAACGCAAGUCAUCAACUUGCAUUGAUUACGUCCCCGCCCUUUGUACACACCGCCCGUCGCACCUACCGAUUGAAUGGUCCGGUGAAGCCUCCGGAUUGGCGCGCACCUCGGUGCCGCCGAGAAGUUGGCUAAACCUUACCAUUUAGAGGAAGGUGAAGUCGUANCA
rnacentral:rRNA from 1 species